CUUCAUUGUACAGCACAGACUAUCACAACAUUGCAAAGCAAUUAUACUCUAAAAAUGUUUAACAAUGAAAUAAAAUCUGUUAUCUAUACAACAAAAUAAUGAGACCCUGCCUAUGGAAGUGUUUUGUAACUCUGCAGAGCUUUAUGAAGGAAAGGCGUUCACCUAGAGAUAGAAUCUACAUAACCACAGUCCAAUUUUCUUUGCCUCAGCAAUCUAAGGAUUGGAGUACUGUUAGGACCAUUUACAGAUGGAAUUUCAGAGGGUCCACAUGGAGAAGGAUCGCUUUAUACUCUGGUGGAUCAACCUCACAAGGAAUGCGCAGUGGUGCCUCCCCCUGUGAGCCCACCAUUUCCCUCAAGACCCCAUGGGAAGCCCACUGAGUUGGACGUCUGGAAAUUGAUUUCACCCUCCAUGGCUAUGCAAACCACCUGUGGUGCCCUUUGAUGGCAGAUGAGUUUUAAGAGAAUCCCAAAGAGAAUUUUCACUGGCAAGGCAAAACACCUUGUUUCUAUCUGAUAGAGAAGCUUGUGGAGCUUACAGGAGAAAUGGCUUAAGAAGAUUUAAAGUCAGAAGGGUGAGUGGAAGUAGAGAAAGAAAACAUUUGGAAAUUUGGAGUUAGGAAUUCUGAAUAACUUACUUGAAAAAAAAUCUUGAAUUCAGUGAAAAAUAUUGUAUAAACAUACUUGAGGAGUGUUAUUUGGAUUUAAUUAGCUAUUUUUUCUCACUAAAAUGAUUUAUGCUGUGUAACAAACCAUCUAAAACCUGAAGACAUAAGACACCAGUCACAUCUGGUUUCUCAUCAGUCUGCAGGCUGACUGGGGUGGUCCUUUCAGGAUGGCUGAGUCAAGCUGGCUGUACUGUCCAUAAUUAUCAUCUUCCUUCUGGAAUCAGCAGGUCAACUGGGUCAUGACUUUCUCAUGUCAACAGCAGAGAUGGCAGAGAGGAUGAGCCCAACUGUGUAAGAACUUUUCAAGCCUCUGUUUGUAUUGUCAGUCCAGUUCCAAAGAAGACA
rnacentral:lncRNA from 1 species